AAUUUAUGGUGCAGGCAUUUUUGAAUCAACAUUUUGAACCAUUUUCAUGCCUCAUAGAAACUUACUCCAUUAUCUAUCUAAAAACAACAAUCUAUCUUCUUAGUU
rfam:Gossypium arboreum cultivar AKA8401 contig_6048_9, whole genome shotgun sequence.